GGCGAACGGGUGAGUAACACGUGGGCAACCUACCCUCGAGUUGGGAACAACACCCCCAACGGGGUGCUAAUACCGAAUGACAUCACAUCGACGUAGGUCGGUGUGAUCAAAGGCAGCCUCUGCUUGCAAGCUGUCGCUUGAGGAUGGGCCCGCGUCCCAUUAGCUAGUUGGUGAGGUAACGGCCCACCAAGGCGAUGAUGGGUAGCUGGUCUGAGAGGAUGGUCAGCCACACUGGGAUUGAGAAACGGCCCAGACUCCUUCGGGAGGCAGCAGUCGAGAGGCUUUGGCAAUGGGGGAAACCCUGACCAAGCGACGCCGUGUGGGUGAUGAAGGCCUUCGGGUUGUAAAGCCCUGUUAAGGGGGAAGAAUCGCCUCGAGGUUAACAGCCUCGAGGUUUGACGGUACCCCUAGAGGAAGCUCCGGCAAACUCCGUCCCAGCAGCCGCGGUAAUACGGGGGGUGCGAGCGUUGUUCGGAAUUAUUGGGCGUAAAGAGCGUGUA
rnacentral:rRNA from 1 species